rnacentral:tRNA from 1 species
UNAAAGUUAAAUUAUAGGUUAAACCCCUAUAUACCUCU